CUUAGCAACACUCACUCUCACAAAGGAAGACUGCCAAUGGACGAGCAAGUAUGAGCAAGAGCUGGGAUUCUGUCUCUGGACAAGAGGUGAAUCCCAUAGGCAGGUUCAGGCAGCGUGGGGGCCAAGCUCUCUCAGGAACCAUUCUUUUAACUGCCUCACCAAUAACAUGUGUCUCCCACACCUGAGAGGCUCUCCUUCCAGGUGUACCCAGUUCUCCAUGACUGCUGGACGGCUACAGGCAGCACCCAAAUGAGGGGCUUGGACACAGGGAGACCAACUGAGGGUCGCUGUCUUCAGUGGAACUCCACAAAAAAUGGAAUAAAGAACAGUGGGAAGGGGUAAUUCACUCGCCUCCAGGAGUGGCCCAGGAGGAGAGAGGCUACCUGAGGAGGAGAAGGAAACACAAA
rnacentral:lncRNA from 1 species